UACGUAGGGCGCAAGCGUUGUCCGGAGUUAUUGGGCGUAAAGAGCUCGUAGGCGGUCUGUCGCGUCCGUUGUGAAAACUCGAGGCUCAACCUCGGGCUUGCAGUGGAUACGGGCAGACUAGAGUGCGGUAGGGGAGACUGGAAUUCCUGGUGUAGCGGUGGAAUGCGCAGAUAUCAGGAGGAACACCGAUGGCGAAGGCAGGUCUCUGGGCCGCAACUGACGCUGAGGAGCGAAAGCAUGGGGAGCGAACAGG
rnacentral:rRNA from 1 species